GGGAGAUUGGUCUAAAGGUAGGGCACACGCUCCGGGAGUGUGAUGAUCUAGGUUCGAAUCCUGGGUCUCCCA